UCUUCCCUCUCUCUCCAGGCUUAACACAUGCAAGUCGAGGGGCAGCAUGAUUGCAGCUUGCUUCAAUCGAUGGCGACCGGCGCACGGGUGAGUAACACGUAUCCAACCUGCCGAUAACUCGGGGAUAGCCUUUCGAAAGAAAGAUUAAUACCCGAUAGUAUAGUAUUUCCGCAUGGUUUCACUAUUAACGAACUUCGGUUAUCGAUGGGGAUGAGUUCCAUUAGAUAGUUGGCGGGGUAACGGCCCACCAAGUCAACGAUGGAUAGGGGUUCUGAGAGGAAGGUCCCCCACAGUGGAACUGAGACACAGUCCAAAAUCCUACGGGAGGCAGCAGUGUGGAAUAUUGGGCAAUGGACGAGAGUCUGAACCAGCCAAGUAGCGUGAAAGAUGACUGCCCUAGGAGUUGUAAACUGCUUUUAUACGGGAAUAAAGUGGAGUAUGCAUACUCCUUUGUAGGUACCGUAUGAAUAAGGAUCGGCUAACUCCGUG
rnacentral:rRNA from 1 species